rnacentral:rRNA from 1 species
GCUAAACCCCCAAUUUUUUAAAGGUUGACCUCGGAUC